rnacentral:sRNA from 1 species
ACAUUUUUAUUUUAAACUUAUACAGGCAAAUAUCAGAUGCCAUGUGGUUUGUCUCUGACCCUUUGCGCUACUUCAUGACAGCUUUACUGAGUGAAGCCUGAAUACCCAAUCGGGAAAGCAAGAUGUUCUUGUCUUUUCCCAACUCUCUUCAAAGUUUAACAGCCUUGGAAGGAGUCUUAGAACAGCAACAAAAGCACAAUUAACAGAAAAAUGGAGGUGCUGCUAUCUGUUUCUCGCAGGUUUAUUCUUAAUAACUAUGUCCAUUUUCACAUGGAUGACACCAUUGAGAUGAUGAAUACCUGUAUUGAUUGAUUGAUGAAGAACAUUUAUCUUUUUCUACCUACUUUUGGAAGCUAGCUUGAAAAAUCUACUGCAACAUUCACUCUUCAUGUAUUCUUCUAUUACCUUUGGUACCCUGAAUAACCUUUUAAAAAAUUUUUGCACUUUUCUAAUAUGAAGAGAAAUAGCUUCAUAUUCUAUGCUAGUUUUUUGAGGUGCUUGUGCUGACUCAUUUUUUAAAUUAUACUAAGAUAUAGAGCAUGGUUUGAGAGCAGUAAUGAGAUUCUCAGAAAAUAUGAAAACUUUCCUUUCUGACUAGUUAGAGAAAGGUUGGGGAAGACAAGGGGAAAUACAUCAAUGAGCCAAUCAAUUAUUGUUAUUUGUUGGGAUUAAUUCGGUGACUAAUAUUUUUAAUGCCCAUCAGGCUACUAAAUGUGAAUUUGGCUUUACCCUGUAAUGAUAACAGGACAAACCCAACAGGUUUCUAACAUUGCUUGUUUUCCCCUGGUAGGGGAUUUCUUUGCAUAUGGGAAAUCAGGCCGAAGUUGCCAGUAACAGCCACAUCCAUGGUUUGUAUUAAAAAUAACUAUUCAUCAUUCUGGGCUAGAGCUCUGCUUACCAUGGCUCACCUGGGAAGAUAUUCUGAUUAUGUAUCUAAUCAUUAUGAUGCCACCUUUCAAGAGGUGAGCAGACAAUUAACAAGUCCUUCAAAUUAUGUUCAAAACCCAGAGUUUGAGAAAAUGUUCCAAUGCCUUCAAGUGUGAAGAUAAUAAAAAUAUUACCUAAUGCUUAACCGUUCACUGACACUGUGCUGGGCAGACAUUGUUUUCAGCUCUGGCCUUGUGUUAACUCAUGGUUCUCAGAGGAGUGGGUAUUAUUCCCAGAUGGAAGAUGAAGAAAUGGCCACAGAGAAGUUAAGUAAUUUGUCCAAGGUCACAUUACUGUUCUUGGCGGGGCUGAUUCCAGAGGCUGCAUCCCUAACUAGUGUACAGCAAAAGCGAACUGGCCACUGCCACUUUGUUAUAAGACAUUUUGUUCUUUGAGGCUUGUAUUUCUUUGUGUUCCCAAAUGGAGUCUUGUUGGUUUUUGAAUAGAAAAUAUUUUUAUAUGUUUAGGAUUUUUUUAAAUGUUGAUGAAGAUGGUGAUAAAUAUUUUUCCAAUUAAAGUAUAUACUUCUGGUGGAAAUUAUAUUAAAGCAGAGAAAGUCUUAAUUUUUA